CGUGUUCUGAAGAAAUAGUUAUUACUUAAUUAAGUAGCACCAUUGCAUAAGCUAAAACAUUUUGGAACUAACGAUUUCUGUAAACAAUGUUUGAAUACCAAAGGAGUUAGCAUAACAAUACUGCUUGCAUGAUAUGAUUUCACGGUCAGUAAAAGCAAUCCAACAUUAAUCAAUUACACAACCUUUUUUUCUGGAUAAUGAUUUGCAGGGUGAAGAUGAAAUAAGCAGGACUAUGAAACAAAAGAAAAUCGCGAGGGGUUUUAAUAUUGAUCAUUGGCAGUAUCGCAAUUUACAGCAGGGAGAGACAGCUGGAAUUUAAGGAAAUAUGCUGAUUGCCUAAGUUUAAUUAAUUAAACUACAACAUGCGAAAUUGAAAAAUUAAGCAUCAAUCCGAACAAACUUUCAGAUCUUACAGAAAUAUGCGUUUUUUAACACAUUGUUUAUAAACAUAUUUUAAUGAGGCCUUAAAAAAUAGCAUUCAAUUUUAUUAACUAUGAUAAGUAAUCGGAACCGAUAGAUAAUCGAAAAAAGCAGGGUUCGCAGAAAGACUCGGCUAUUUGAAGAGAAGGGAGUUGUAAAGGGGGUGGCAUAUCCAAAAGCCGUAAUGAUAUCUUUUGUUAUAACAGAAACAGCUGCUUAUUGCACAAUGCACUUAUUAUGGUAAGCAGCCACAUAAAAAAUCAUUGUUUCGCUAUAUUGCCAACAAUCAUUACGCUUGAGGUCGAUUUCAUGAAAGAACAUGCUUAAGCAUUAGAGUUAUUCAUUACUCUUCAUUUUCUUAUCAACGCGGGAUUCCAAUUCAUCAAGUUCUUCACGAUGAAGUUUGAGGCUUU